rnacentral:rRNA from 1 species
GAUGAACGCUGGCGGCGCGCCUAACACAUGCAAGUCGAACGAUUAAAGCACCUUCGGGUGUGUAUAAAGUGGCGAACGGCUGAGUAACACGUGGGCAACCUGCCCCUUUCAUUGGGAUAGCCACGGGGAACCGUGGAUAAUACCGAAUACUUCGAGACUUCCGCAUGGAAGACUCGAGAAAGCUCCGGCGGAGAGGGAUGGGCCCGCGGCCUGUUAGCUUGUUGGUGGGGUAACGGCCUACCAAGGCAAUGAUGGGUAGCUGGGUUGAGAGACCGACCAGCCAGAUUGGGACUGAGACACGGCCCAGACUCCUACGGGAGGCAGCAGUGGGGAAUCUUGCACAAUGGGCGAAAGCCUGAUGCAGCGACGCCGCGUGCGGGAUGAAGGCCUUCGGGUUGUAAACCGCUUUCAGCAGGGACGAGGCGAAAGUGACGGUACCUGCAGAAGAAGCCCCGGCUAACUACGUG